rnacentral:rRNA from 1 species
GACGAACGCUGGCGGCGUGCUUAACACAUGCAAGUCGAACGGAAAGGCCCUGCUUUUGUGGGGUGCUCGAGUGGCGAACGGGUGAGUAACACGUGAGUAACCUGCCCUUGACUUUGGGAUAACUUCAGGAAACUGGGGCUAAUACCGGAUAGGAGCUCCUGCUGCAUGGUGGGGGUUGGAAAGUUUCGGCGGUUGGGGAUGGACUCGCGGCUUAUCAGCUUGUUGGUGGGGUAGUGGCUUACCAAGGCUUUGACGGGUAGCCGGCCUGAGAGGGUGACCGGCCACAUUGGGACUGAGAUACGGCCCAGACUCCUACGGGAGGCAGCAGGGGGGAAUAUUGCACAAUGGGCGGAAGCCUGAUGCAGCAACGCCGCGUGCGGGAUGACGGCCUUCGGGUUGUAAACCGCUUUCUCCUGUGACGAAGCGUGAGUGACGGUAAUGGGUAAAGAAGCACCGGCUAACUACGUG